AUUGAACGCUGGCGGCAUGCCUUACACAUGCAGGUCGAACGGCAGCGGACCUUCGGGUGCCGGCGAGUGGCGAACGGGUGAGUAAUAUAUCGGAACGUGCCUUUCAGUGGGGGAUAACGUAGCGAAAGUUACGCUAAUACCGCAUAUUCUGUGAGCAGGAAAGCAGGGGAUCGCAAGACCUUGCGCUGAUUGAGCGGCCGAUAUCAGAUUAGCUAGUUGGUGAGGUAAAGGCUCACCAAGGCGACGAUCUGUAGCGGGUCUGAGAGGAUGAUCCGCCACACUGGAACUGAGACACGGUCCAGACUCCUACGGGAGGCAGCAGUGGGGAAUUUUGGACAAUGGGCGCAAGCCUGAUCCAGCCAUGCCGCGUGAGUGAAGAAGGCCUCGGUUGUAAG
rnacentral:rRNA from 1 species